rnacentral:ncRNA from 1 species
UACCUGGUUGAUCCUGCCAGUAGUCAUAUGCUUGUCUCAAAGAUUAAGCCAUGCAAGUCUAAGUACGAGCUCUCGUACAGUGAAACUGCGAAUGGCUCAUUAAAUCAGUUAUAGUUCAUUUGAUCGUACAGUUUACUUGGAUAACUGUGGUAAUUCUAGAGCUAAUACAUGCGAGAAGCGCCGACCUCGCGGGAGGCGUGCAUUUAUCAGACCAAAAACCGGCCGCGUCUUCGGGCGCGUUCGCCUUGGUGACUCUGGAUAACUUUGCGGAUCGCACGGUCUAGCACCGGCGACGGAUCAUUCAAGUGUCUGCCCUAUCAACUUUCGUCGGUACGGUAUUUGCCUACCGAGGUUCUUACGGGUGACGGGGAAUCAGGGUUCGAUUCCGGAGAGGGAGUCCUGAGAAACGGCUACCACAUCCAAGGAAGGCAGCAGGCGCGCAAAUUACCCAUUCCCGACGCGGGGAGGUAGUGACGAAAAAAUAACAAUGCAGGACUCGUUCGAGGCCCUGUAAUUGGAAUGAGUACACUUUAAAAGCUUUAACGAGUAUCCAUUGGAGGGCAAGUCUGGUGCCAGCAGCCGCGGUAAUUCCAGCUCCAAAAGUAUAUAUUUAAGUUGUUGCGGUUAAAAAGCUCGUAGUUGGAUUUUGGGCGCAGGCGGCCGGUCCGUCGCAAGGCGUGUACUGGACGUCCUGGCCUUCCCUCCGGUUCUCCGCCGGUGCUCUUGACUGAGUGUCGGCGGCGGCCGGAACGUUUACUUUGAAAAAAUUAGAGUGUUCAAAGCAGGCUCUCGAGCCUGGAUAAUGGUGCAUGGAAUAAUGGAAUAGGACCUCGGUUCUAUUUUGUUGGUUUUCGGAGCGCGAGGUAAUGAUUAAGAGGGACAGACGGGGGCAUUCGUACUGUGCCGUUAGAGGUGAAAUUCUUGGAUCGGCGCAAGACGAACGACUGCGAAAGCAUUUGCCAAGAAUGUUUUCUUUAAUCAAGAGCGAAAGUCAGAAGUUCGAAGACGAUCAGAUACCGUCCUAGUUCUGACUAUAAACGAUGCCAACUA